rnacentral:lncRNA from 14 species
CACUGAAGAACUUCACAGGGCUGUGAAGAGAGGAGUACAGCAAAGCAUUUGAAGAGCAGGAGUACACCCCAGGUCACAAGAAUGCUUUCUGUUGCCAAGCUUUUCCCCUGCAGCACUUAUGUACAUGUGUGGAUCAGAGCAAAGUUAAGGCACACCAAGGAACAGAAGUCUGUCUGGUGGCUGUCUGGAUACAUGACUCAGAGGUUCAGAAAGGAUGGCCUUUGGGUUUGA